ACUCAAAUGAAUAGACGGGGGCCCGCACAAGCAGCGGAGCGUGUGGUUUAAUUCGAGGCUACACGAAGAACCUUACCUGGGCUUGACAUGCCGUUUGUAGGGAAGCGAAAGCGGACCGACCCUUCGGGGAGGCGGCACAGGUGCUGCAUGGCUGUCGUCAGCUCGUGCCGUGAGGUGUUCGGUUAAGUCCGGUAACGAGCGCAACCCCUGGUGCCAGUUACAUGAUGUCUGGCGCGACUGCCCGUGACAAGCGGGAGGAAGGUGGGGACGACGUCAAGUCAGCAUGGCCUUUAUGUCCAGGGCUACACACACGCUACAAUGGCCGGUACAAUGGGCAGCCAAGCGGCAACGCGGAGCCAAUCCCAGCAAAGCCGGUCUCAGUUCGGAUUGAGGGCUGCAACCCGCCCUCAUGAAGGUGGAGUUGCUAGUAACCGCGCGUCAGCCAUAGUGCGGUGAAUACGUUCCCGGGCCUUGUACACACCGCCCGU
rnacentral:rRNA from 1 species